rnacentral:rRNA from 1 species
AAUCAACGCUGGCGGCGUGCCUCAGACAUGCAAGUCGAACGAUUAAGACUUCCUUCGGGAAGUGUAUAAAGUGGCGCACGGGUGAGUAACACGUAAGUAAUCUACCUUCGAGUGGGGAAUAACAUCGGGAAACCGAUGCUAAUACCGCAUAAUGCAGCGGCAUCGCAAGAUGACAGUUGUUAAAGGAGCAAUUCGCUUGAAGAGGAGCUUGCGGCAGAUUAGCUAGAUGGUAAGAUAAUGGCUUACCAAGGCUACGAUCUGUAUCCGGUCUAAGAGGACGGUCGGACACACUGACACUGAAUAACGGGUCAGACUCCUACGGGAGGCAGCAGUCGGGAAUUUUGGGCAAUGGGCGAAAGCCUGACCCAGCAACGCCGCGUGAGGGAUGAAGUAUUUCGGUAUGUAAACCUCGAAAGAAUGGGAAGAAUAAAUGACGGUACCAUUUAUAAGCUCCGGCUAACUACGUGCCAGCCGCCGCGGUAACAC